ensembl:antisense Gm44649 predicted gene 44649
GGUAUAGACAUGAGAGGUCAGAGGUAGCCGCCAUGCAGUGGCCCCACCUUUGACAGUUUUCUUCCUCGAUGUUGGUAAGGCCCGUAACUGAGCUGCUCAGCUGCUUCCACACAGUGGUCAUGUCUCCUGACUCCAGCGCCCUGUUGAUGAGGGCCACGGAUGACAGCAUCUCCACAGCAACAGAAAGCCUACAAGUCUAAUCCCACAAGAUCCAACCUUGCAGCACCUAAAGUAUUCUCCAGUGUCAGUCAAGGGAAACUACUGGUGUGGGAGUUUUCCGUCUGAGGAGGAGUAAGAACAGUAGAGAUGAGCCCGGGUCUCUGAAGAGCCCAGAGAAGUGUGUGUGUGCUUCCUCCCACCCCACCAACAUGACAAAACCAAGAACAAGUCUAAGUAUGGAGUCCAGAUCUUCUGUAAGUGGCAAAGUUACACAACUAUCCCUAAAAACACAACUAUCCCUAAACACCAGGUACACUUGGUACAAACAGUAAUGGGUUCCUGCAGAGUGGAGCCAGGAGCCAGGAGGCAGGAGCCAGGAAGGAAGCCCCUGGAGGAACCACCCUGCCUACUAAGGUCAGAGGGCUGAGCUGCAUCCUUGCCAUAAAGCAGAGGCCUUCUGUGGGUACCAGGACUAAAUAAAGGUGUGUGGAGUC